GAUGAACGCUAGCGGCAGGCUUAAUACAUGCAAGUCGAGGGGCAGCAGUCCCGCAGCAAUGCGGGAGCUGGCGACCGGCAAACGGGUGCGGAACACGUACAGAACCUUCCUUCGAGCGGGGAAUAGCCCAGAGAAAUUUGGAUUAAUACCCCAUAGCAUUACGAAGUGGCAUCACUUUGUAAUUAAAGAUUUAUCACUCGAAGAUGGCUGUGCGGCUGUANAGGUUAGUUGGCGGAGUAACGGCCCACCAAGCCUUC
rnacentral:rRNA from 1 species